AGUGAACGCUGGCGGUAGGCCUAACACAUGCAAGUCGAACGGCAGCACAGUAAGAGCUUGCUCUUACGGGUGGCGAGUGGCGGGCGGGUGAGGAAUACAUCGGAAUCUACUUUUUCGUGGGGGAUAACGUAGGGAAACUUACGCUAAUACCGCAUACGACCUACGGGUGAAAGCAGGGGAUCUUCGGACCUUGCGCGAUUGAAUGAGCCGAUGUCGGAUUAGCUAGUUGGCGGGGUAAAGGCCCACCAAGGCGACGAUCCGUAGCUGGUCUGAGAGGAUGAUCGGCCACACUGGAACGGAGACACGGUCCAGACUCCGACGGGAGGCAGCAGUGGGGAAUAUUGGACAAUGGGCGCAAGCCUGAUCCAGCCAUACCGCGUGGGUGAAGAAGGCCUUCGGGUUGUAAAGCCCUUUUGUUGGGAAAGAAAAGCAGCAGGUUAAUACCCCGCUGUUCUGACGGUACCCAAAGAAUAAGCACCGGCUAACUUCGUG
rnacentral:rRNA from 1 species